rnacentral:rRNA from 1 species
UACGAGGGGGGCGAGCGUUGUCCGGAUUUAUUGGGCGUAAAGAGCGUGUAGGCGGCUUGACAGGUCUGCUGUGAAAACUCGAGGCUCAACCUCGAGAUGUCGGCGGAAACCGUCUGGCUAGAGUCCGGAAGAGGAGAGUGGAAUUCCUGGUGUAGCGGUGAAAUGCGCAGAUAUCAGGAAGAACACCUAUGGCGAAGGCAGCUCUCUGGGACGGUACUGACGCUGAGACGCGAAAGCGUGGGGAGCGAACAGG